GGGCAUGUAACUUAAAGGAUUAGAGCAUGUGGCUACGCGUGUUGGAGGUUCGAAUCCCUUCAUGCCCA
rnacentral:tRNA from 1 species